rnacentral:rRNA from 1 species
AACGAACGUUGGCGGCGUGGUUAAGGCAUGCAAGUCGAACGAGAAAUUCGGGCUUCGGCUCGGAGAGUACAGUGGCGAAAGGGUGAGGACAUCGUGGACAAUCUACCUAGGAGUGGGGAAUAACCUUCCUAACGGAGGGCUAAUACCGCAUGCGCUCUCGAGGUCGCAUGGCUUUGAGAGGAAAGGUGGGGAUCCUUCGGGACCUGUCGCUCCUAGAGGAGUUCACGACCCAUCAGCUUGUUGGUGAGGUAACGGCCCACCAAGGCUUCGACGGGUACCCGGGCUGAGAGGCUGAACGGGCACACUGGAACUGAGACACUGUCCAGACUCCUACGGGAGGCUG